AUUAAUUUUGCACAUAAAAGAGAGCACGCCAUGUACUAUCUAGUGGCUAUCAGGAGGGAAAGCCACUAGAUAGUACGUAGCGUGCUCUCUUUAAUGUGCAAAAUUAAUUUCU